UCCAGGGUAGCCUAGUGGACAUGGCAUCUGCCCGGUAAGCAGAACACUGUGGGUUCGAUUCCCAUCCCUGAAC